rnacentral:tRNA from 1 species
GCCGGGCUAGCUCAGUGGUAGAGCAACUGAUUUGUAAUCAGUAGGCCGUGGGUUCGAAUCCUACGCCCGGCACCA